GCCGCACUGUAUUUACAGUCCGUUGAAGAUUCUGUCAUUUGGUGAUUUUAUCAUACUACAUCAUACCAUAGUGGGCUGACGAUCCUGAGAUCACAUCCAACACUAAGUAAUACUGCAUUGAUGACUCCAUCAUUUUUAUCAUCGCUGCACCAGGUUACAUGGUACAUAAGUGAUAAAUAAAAAAUAACUUUUGAUACUUCAAAUCAUUUGAGUCUAGCCGAAAUAAGUAGCAUAGACUGUACUUUAAACCGUUUCAAAAAUCUUUGCAAAUCAGUUUUAUCAUCUCAACAGGUAACGAGGUAUCGAUGGCCCGAAGUCCACGCAUACACAAUAAUCACCAGGAGUUGAGAAUAAAAAUUCAUUUUUCAAAAGCACAUAGUGCGUAUUUAGCUUGAUGUCAAAAAUUCGAAGUUUAGCAUAGCUAGGAGUUUAGGAAAACCUAACACCUUUACUAAUAAUCAUUUGCUUAACAAUCUAUCUGUUCCUAUAAUCCUCAAUUCUUCAUUCACACAUAACUAUACCCAGUUCGUCAAACUUACCACACUUAUGAGUUCAGGAACUUACCACAAUCAUAUGAGUUUAAGAACUUUCCUAGACAGACCUUUGGCGUCCAUUCACUAAGAGGUCCAUAAACAUUUCAUAUAAUCACGAGUCACGAACGUACCAUAAGUAUGAGUUUUAAGAACUCGUACUUAACCUUAUAUCCUCUAUCUAUGACCUAUCUAUCUGUUAUACACCUGAGAAUGGAGUCAUCCUCUUAAUGUGGAUAUAACAAAUAGCGCGACAUAAACAUUUCAAUGAUUAUCAAUGCCAGAAACUAAGUGGUUUUUACACCAAGUACAAUUCAGCUCCUAUACGAAGAAUCAUACAACUCAGCUGCCGACAUGAGUCCUCAAUUGAAUCCCCACCUAACACUAACCCCUUCUCCAUACGAAUUUAAUUCGUAUUCAUAAUUCUCGUCUGGAUCUGUACCAAUUUAUAGUACAAUUCAUACACAGCAAUCUUGCUGUAAACUUUUCAUCAUUCUCUUGAUCUUUCUUCAUACCAUAAUCUUAUCAGAUCACGGAGUGAUCUCAUCGUAUAUAUUACGAUUUAUUGUUAUUCUAUGAUCGUUUUGUUUUACGAUCUCCCAUCCUUACACUUGUAAUCUCUUAGAAUCUAUCUAUCUAUUUCCUAUACUUUGUACACAUCGAGUCUCUAACAGUUUUCGAUAUGGUACGCUGAGUGGUUUCCCACAAACAACCAACAAACUAGGUUCUGAGUUGCUAGUUCGUAUAUACCUCCGCUCUAUGAAGGAAUCGUUUAGCAAAGAUACCAUACAUCAACUAGUUUCGAGUACAAUGGUACCAUACUUAAACCUAACUUUUUGACCCUGCGAGAUU
rnacentral:lncRNA from 1 species